AUGCAGUCGACGAACCUUCGGGUUAGUGGCGGACGGGUGAGUAACGCGUGAGAAUCUGCCCUCAGGAGGGGGAUAACAGUUGGAAACGACUGCUAAUACCCCAUAUGCCGAGAGGUGAAACGAAUUUUGCCUGGGGAUGAGCUCGCGUCUGAUUAGCUUGUUGGUGGGGUAAAAGCCUACCAAGGCUUCGAUCAGUAGCUGGUCUGAGAGGACGAUCAGCCACACUGGGACUGAGAUACGGCCCAGACUCCUACGGGAGGCAGCAGUGGGGAAUUUUCCGCAAUGGGCGCAAGCCUGACGGAGCAACGCCGCGUGAGGGAUGAAGGCCUUUGGGCUGUAAACCUCUUUUCUCAAGGAAGAAGAUCUGACGGUACUUGAGGAAUAAGCCACGGCUAAUUCCGUGCCAGCAGCCGCGGUAAUACGGGAGUGGCAAGCGUUAUCCGGAAUUAUUGGGCGUAAAGCGUCCGCAGGCGGCCGUUUAAGUCUGUUGUUAAAUCGUGGAGCUCAACUCCAUCACGGCAAUGGAAACUGUUCGGCUUGAGUAUGGUAGGGGCAGAGGGAAUUUCCGGUGUAGCGGUGAAAUGCGUAGAUAUCGGGAAGAACACCAGUGGCAAAAGCGCUCUGCUGGGCCAUUACUGACGCUCAUGGACGAAAGCCAGGGGAGCGAAAGGGAUUAGAUACCCCUGUAGUCCUGGCCGUAAACGAUGAACACUAGAUGUUGGGGGAAUCGACCCCUCGGUGUCGUAGCUAACGCGUUAAGUGUUCCGCCUGGGGAGUACGCACGCAGUGUGAACUCAAAGGAAUUGACGGGGCCCGCACAAGCGUGAGUAUGUGUUAUUCGAU
rnacentral:rRNA from 1 species